UACGGGGGGAGCAAGCGUUGUUCGGAUUUACUGGGCGUAAAGGGCGCGUAGGCGGUCGUGACAAGUCACUUGUGAAAUCUCCGGGCUUAACUCGGAACGGUCAAGUGAUACUGUCGGACUAGAGUACAGAAGGGGCAACUGGAAUUCUCGGUGUAGCGGUGAAAUGCGUAGAUAUCAAGAGGAACACCUGCGGCGAAGGCGGGUUGCUGGGCCGACACUGACGCUGAUGCGCGAAAGCUAGGGGAGAGAACGGG
rnacentral:rRNA from 1 species